UGAUCACCUCCAUGAUCUACAGCAUGACCUUGGUCUGUGGAGAGAAAAUGUCAGCACCCUUUCCUCCCCACCAUCCCACCAGCGAUCCCUCCAGAGCACCAGCAGCAGCAGCCUCUGGAAGGAGGACACAGCCAUCAAGGGAAAGGUGGUACAGCACUUUUCUUCCUCCUCAUUUUUCAAGAUAGAGGGUGAAGCAGCACAGGUGCAACAGCAUCUUCUCCACAGCUUUCGAAGACUUGCACGUGCACCUGUUCAACCAGGAGAGCAAACAGCUGAGUGACACUGCUGCAAAUCUUCCAGAGACCUAUAAAACAUCUCCUGUUGACAAGGCAACCAGCAUGCUGUCAGUGGCAAAAAUUACCAAGUAAAAAGUUGUGUUUUGUCACGGUGCGUCCAGCCAGCAGCAGGAUGCUGCCAGCAGAAGGCCGGCCCUAAGCACGUACCCAGGAACGCACAGGAGAUGCAGGAGCCGAUGCUGUGCCAGGUGCCUCCCUGUUGGGACACUCUUCAAACACUGCUGGCUGUUUACUGUACCAAAGGGCAGAGGGAAAGGACAGCAAGGAAAGUAUCAGAGAAAAAACAUAUGGUAACUGCAAGCCCUGAUAUGCCUUACUGAAUUAAAAAUCUCC